UUUAUACCCACUAGUCUGUGAUUAAAACUUCACCGAAACAACAAGAAGGAAGAAGAAGAAGAAGAAGGGAUGACGCUGGGGCUUAUCAAUGCGAAUCCAGUGGUUCACGCCAAGAAGGAGCGGAUCGCUCGCUCGGAAGACUUCCACGGUGACGACGCUGUUGAUCCUCUUGAAAUCUAUGAUUUCGUGAGGGAUAUUAGAGAUCCGGAGCAUCCGUAUUCGUUAGAGCAGCUUAGUGUUCUCUCGGAGGAAUCGAUCACUGUCGAUGAGAAGUUAGGGCGUAUCCUGAUAACUUUUACUCCGACUAUUCAGCAUUGUAGUAUGGCGACUGUGAUUGGACUCUGUCUGAGAGUGAAACUUAAACAUUUCUUUCCUCCACAUUAUAAGGUUGACAUCAAAGUGUCUCCAGGAUCACACGCAAAUGAAGACUCAGUUAACAAGCAGCUAAAUGACAAAGAAAGAGUUGCAGCUGCAAUGGAAAAUCCAAAUCUGCGUCAGCUUGUAGAUGAAUGCCUUUAUUCCAGUGAGCUCUGAAUCAAAUCAAUUAUCAACGUCCAACGGGCCAAAAAUGAAGUUCAACGCACUAUUGGGUACUUCAAUUUUGAUCCAAACAAAUCAUCUUUUCAUCAAAUGGGGAGAUCCAUAGAUUGUCUUGAAAUAUUACGAACUAUUGAGAGAAAGCUAAAAGCAGUAGGAAUAUUCAAUUGUAUGGAUGCAUGUAUAUGAAUGAUGGCAUUAAAGAGCACAUACCUUCCAGAAGGCUUGAAAAAACUUGGGGGGAUUGUAGAGGAAAGCAAAGGCAAGUCUCUCGGGGUAAUGGUUCUGAAGGACAUUGAUAAUAUCUGCGGCUAUUUUGACAGAGACAUUGGUUUUCAUUGUAAAUCCGGUGAAAUCUAUUAACCAACACAUUUGUUCCUGACCCUCACCAAGGUUCAUAAUCGCAUUCUCUAAAAGAUAGACCAAAUGCCGCACACUGGCUUCUGAUGGAGUUGUGUUCUGAGAGAUUUCAAAAAUAGGAACUGUCACUAAAAUCAGAAAGUGAAUGCAAAACACAAAAAAGAUCAAAACUUAAAUUUGCAAAUGAAUGGACCACUUCUAUACUGUGUACUUUUUAUUUUUCUAAAAAUUUGUCUACUUAUUAUUUC